CGAGACUGCCGUUGACAAAACGGAGGAAGGUGGGACGACGUCAAAUCAUCAUGCCCCUUAUGUCCUGGGCUACACACGUACUACAAUGGCAACAACAGAGGGCGGCCAGACCGCGAGGUCGAGCGAAUCCCAAAAUGUUGUCUCAGUUCAGAUUGCAGGCUGAAACUCGCCUGCAUGAAGUCGGAAUUGCUAGUAAUGGCAGGUCAGCAUACUGCCGUGAAUACGUUCCCGGGCCUU
rnacentral:rRNA from 1 species